CAGCAGCCACGGUAAUACGUAGGGAGCAAGCGUUGUUCGGAUUUACUGGGCGUAAAGGGCGCGUAGGCGGCGCGGUAAGUCACUUGUGAAAUCUCUGAGCUUAACUCAGAACGGCCAAGUGAUACUGCUGUGCUAGAGUGCGGAAGAGGCAACCGGAAUUCUUGGUGUAGCGGUGAAAUGCGUAGAUAUCAAGAGGAACACCUGAGGCGAAGGCGGGUUGCUGGGCCGACACUGACGCUGAUGCGCGAAAGCCAGGGGAGCAAACAGGAUUAGAUACCCCGGUAGUCCCUGUCUCUUAUAC
rnacentral:rRNA from 1 species